UCCCUGGUGGUCCAGUGGUUAGGAUUCUGAGUUUUCACUGCAGGGGGCAGGGUUUUGAUCCCUGGUCAGGGAA
rnacentral:tRNA from 1 species